UACAGAGGGGGCAAGCGUUAUUCGGAAUUAUUGGGCGUAAAGGGCGCGUAGGCGGCCUGGCAAGUGGAUGGUGAAAUCCCUCGGCUUAACCGAGGAACUGCCAUCCAGACUGCUUGGCUUGAGACCGGGAGAGGUGAGUGGAAUUCCCAGUGUAGCGGUGAAAUGCGUAGAUAUUGGGAGGAACACCAGUGGCGAAGGCGGCUCACUGGACCGGUACUGACGCUGAUGCGUGAAAGCGUGGGGAGCAAACGGG
rnacentral:rRNA from 1 species